rnacentral:lncRNA from 1 species
CUUAUUUUAAAAAUUGUUACUUUAAAAAAUUAAAACAGGAUUUUUUUUUUUUUUUUGGUAUCAAAGGCACCUGUGCAGUUAUUCACUGCAGUUAAUCUUAACAAAAGACAAGAUAUAAUAGAGAUGUGACAUUUGUUGUCCCCUUAUAACUUGGGGCUUAUAGAUCCAAUCUUUAUAAAAGAUUUAUUCUUCCUGUCAGGGUCUGCUGCUGGGACUAACGGAACUUAAAAGAACAAUUAAAUCAGACAGUUAAGGCUGGAAGCAAUGGACUUAUUUUUAUCUUGGCUCAUUUGAGGAAACAGGAAGGAGAAAUCCAAGAGAACAUGAAAGAGGAGGCAGAGAGAGCAAGGGAAGGGUACUAGGGCAUUCCCCUCACCUCCUUAUAUAUGCUUGGGCUUGAACCCUUUAAAUAGGGUCUGGAAAGUUUAUAACCAAAGAUAUUGCCAAGUAGCUUUUGGUCCAGCAGACUUUAGGGCAUGUCAGGAGAAAUGAGUCUGGGAUGAUCUGGGAUUUCUGAGUCCAUUUUUAUUCCAAGCUUCAGGAUAGCUAUGGAAAGCUUCUGAGUUAGGGCAGCUUGAUUGUUUUAUAGGGAAGGGAAUGAUUCAAUUCAGGUGAGUCUGAUUGGUUUUCCACCCCUUUGGGGCCUACUCAGGGAUGUUUUGAUAAGUUAGGCAGCUGGAAUUUUCUAAGAGACUUCCAGAUAGAAAGCUUUUGAGAAAAGGGACCAACCUAAUGGUAACUGGCAUUAUUCAGGAGGAUAUGAGAUGAAGGAAAUAAAGCCAUGAAGAGCGAAGGACUUGUCAUGGGUCACCUAUCAAAUCAACGUCUGAGGCAAGAUACAUGCCCAAGGCUUCCUGAUUCUAGGCUCUGUACCCAUUGGUUUGCCGAUGGAAGUGUCAGAAGUCUGAACCACAUCUAUUAAUUUUCUGGAGGACAAAGUUGUCCAGUGAUUUCCAAAAUGCCACAACCAGAAAGGAAGGAAAGCUUUAAAGUCAUGAUGAAUGUUACAGUUCCCCUGGAUGUUUCAGUUCCUCAGCCCAUCACUGUCUCUGGAGAGCAUACAGGGAAGCUAUGUGGCACAGUGGAAAGAAUGCCAGACCUGAAAUCAAGAGGAUCUGAGUUCAAGUCAGGUCUCAGAUACUUACCAGCUGUGUGACACUGGGCAAGUCACUUCACCCUGUUUGCCUCAGUUUAUUCGUCUGGAAAGUGAGCUGGAGAAGGAAAUGGCAGACCAUUCCAGUAUCUUUACCAAAAAAAAAAAAUCCACAAAAACAACAAAACCCAAAUAGGGUCAUGAAGAAUCAAAUACAACUAAUUGACUAAACAACUGGAGAGCUUAACUUAAAUAGGAUUGGGAAAUAGUUUGGAGGGAGGAGAAAGUUCACCUGUCAUGUAUGGUGAAGAUCACUAACAACACCACCACCACUUCUCUCCCACCCUAACUCCACAGAUAAAUGCAAACCGAAUACAGAUAAAACUAGGAGAAUUGGAUAUAAAUACCUCCUGAAGUCAUACUGUGUGUAUGAUACUUUAGAUAUGUUUAGAUACUUUAGUCAUUUCAGAUCCUACAUCUCCCUGUCAAGGAGCUUUCCAGGACUGACUUUUAGGGUAUGUUCUUGUCUUUCUUGGUCUGAAGCCAUGGGUUAAAGUAACUUGAAGGUUGACCUUAAAUGACCUUGGGAUGACCAGAAAAGGGGGAGUUUUAAUAGAGAACUGAUCAGAUUAAGCAGAUGACGUCAUUUCAGUAUCUCUCAGCUGUUUUAUUCUAAUGUCCAAGUUUUAUUAGCUUGGCUAGACCCAAGGCUAUGAUCUGAACACAUUCAUUCAGUUAAUGCCAAGAAUUUAUGGAGUGCUUAAUGUGUGCUCAGACUUGUGCUGGAACUGUGGGGGAAAUAGAGAAAUAAUAAGAUACAGUUCCUUGCACUCAGGGAGAUUAUAGCCUCCAUGGGAAUCCAAGACAAUGCUACCUAAACCAGUGAGAUAACAAUACAUCUAAGACAUUGUCGGUCUUGACUUCUCUAUACCUUCUCCCGUCUAGCCAUCAUCUGUGUUCUAGAUGCUCACUAUUUAAGAUUUCUUGCAUCCUUGCCAUCCUCUUCACAUAUAUCACAACUACCAUAGUUUAAAUGUAUGUAACAUACAAACGACUCCAUUUG